rnacentral:rRNA from 1 species
UACGGAGGGUGCAAGCGUUGUCCGGAUUUAUUGGGUUUAAAGGGUGCGUAGGCGGCCCUGUAAGUCAGUGGUGAAAUACUGCAGCUUAACUGUAGCAUUGCCAUUGAUACUGCAGGGCUUGAGUACAGAUGAGGUAGGCGGAAUUGAUGGUGUAGCGGUGAAAUGCAUAGAUACCAUCAAGAACACCGAUUGCGAAAGGCAGCUUACUAAGCUGUAAACUGACGCUGGAGGCACGAAAAGCGUGGGGAUCGAAACAGG